UUUAUCUUCAUCCAUUGUUAGAGACAACAUCACAAAUAAAUCAUUUAACAAAUCAAGUAAACAAUUAAAUACUCGUAAUCUAAAUAAAAUUAAAAUGGAAAGUUUAAUUUUAUUUACAUUUUUAAAACUUUUGCUAAUUGUAACAGUUUUAUCAGCCAAUAAUCCCAAGCAUUGCUUUGAUAUCUUGGACACUACACCAAAAUCAAAAAUCCAAAAGUUCUAUGACAUGUCAUUCAAGGAAACCGAAAGUACACCGUUAACCGCAAAUAUGCUGAGUUGUUUCUUGAAAGAAUCACGUUUCAUUGAUGGUGAAAAAUCUGAAAUGGGAAAAUAUUUUGAAAUUUACCAAAAAUGUAACGAAUAUAAAAAGAAUACUGCUGAAUCGAUUGGUAAGAAACAAUUGAAUGAGUUAAUACAAUUAGGAUUGGGACAUAUAAUGGCCGGUUUACUACAAGAUGGAAUCAAAGCAAGAAACAAAGAGCACAUUCUAGAAAGUAUUUCGUAUAUAGCUAAAAAAAUGGAAGAAAACAUUGGAAAAAGUACAGAAUUUAAAAACUACAAAAAAUUAAUUUUACAGAAAAUCGAAGGAGAACAAAGUCCCCAGAAAAUGCAAUUUCAUAAUAGUGAAAAUAAAUUGGCAAAACUGGAGGAAAUGGAAAGUAAUAAUGAAAAGAUAUUGGUUAAAGCGUCAGCAUUUAGUAGAUCUGGCCAAAAAUUGUAUUUUAUAGAGAUGAAAUAUAUUGUUCCAGUAUUUAUUGCUAUUAACUGUUUUCAUAUUUUUGUAGAAUUUUAGAGUUAGAAGAAUGAAUAAAUUAAUAAAUAAACAAA